rnacentral:rRNA from 1 species
GACGAACGCUGGCGGCGUGCUUAACACAUGCAAGUCGAGCGGUAAGGCCCUUUCGGGGGUACGACGAGCGGCGAACGGGUGAGUAACACGUGGGUGACCUGCCCUCAGCUCUGGGAUAAGCCUGGGAAACCGGGUCUAAUACCGGAUAUGACUCCAUGACGCAUGUUGUGGGGUGGAAAGCCUUGUGCGGCUGAGGAUGGGCCCGCGGCCUAUCAGCUUGUUGGUGGGGUGAUGGCCUGCCAAGGCGACGACGGGUAGCCGGCCUGAGAGGGCGACCGGCCACACUGGGACUGAGACACGGCCCAGACUCCUACGGGAGGCAGCAGUGGGGAAUCUUGCGCAAUGGGCGAAAGCCUGACGCAGCGACGCCGCGUGA